rnacentral:misc_RNA from 1 species
UACGUAGGGUGCAAGCGUUGUUCGGAAUUACUGGGCGUAAAGGGCGUGCAGGCGGAAUGGUAAGCUAGGGGUGAAAGCCCGGGGCUCAACCCCGGAAUUGCUCCUGGAACUGCUAUUCUAGAGAGGGUCAGAGGCUAGCAGAAUUCCUGGUGUAGAGGUGAAAUUCGUAGAUAUCAGGAGGAAUACCAGUGGCGAAAGCGGCUGGCUGGGGCCACUCUGACGCUGAGGCGCGAAAGCGUGGGGAGCAAACAGG